rnacentral:rRNA from 1 species
UACGGAGGGGGUUAGCGUUGUUCGGAAUUACUGGGCGUAAAGCGCACGUAGGCGGCUUUGCAAGUUAGAGGUGAAAGCCCGGGGCUCAACUCCGGAAUUGCCUUUAAAACUGCAUCGCUAGAAUUGUGGAGAGGUAAGUGGAAUUCCGAGUGUAGAGGUGAAAUUCGUAGAUAUUCGGAAGAACACCAGUGGCGAAGGCGACUUACUGGACACAUAUUGACGCUGAGGUGCGAAAGCGUGGGGAGCAAACAGG